UACGUACUGCGCGAACGUUAUUCGGAAUCACUGGGCUUAAAGGGUGCGUAGGCGGUUUUUCAAGUCAGGUGUGAAAUCUUUCGGCUCAACCGGAAAAUGGCGCUUGAAACUGAGAAACUGGAGUAUGCUAGGGGUGUGCGGAACUGCCAGUGGAGCGGUGAAAUGUGUUGAGAUUGGCAGGAACGCCGGUGGCGAAAGCGACACACUGGGGCAUAACUGACGCUGAGGCACGAAAGCCAGGGUAGCGAACGGGAUUAGAAACCCCUGUAGUCC
rnacentral:rRNA from 1 species